GAAAUGGUUUCCGAGAAUCUAGGAAAAAAGAAGGGAAAUUUCAUUCCUCUUGCAUCAGGAUAAAAGGACUUAGGCGCUCUAACGGGCACUUUCCCGAAGGGGGGGGAUCUUUCACACCACGCACGCUCACAUUGCAUUGGGGGGACAAAUGUGUAGAAAGAGGUUAAAAGUCAGUCGGCCUCCCCGCUAUCUGGUUAAAGAAAAAACCGGUGAAAUCGGCCUACUCUUCUUGAGCCUUCCUUUCAGAAGGUCUGGCAAGUCGAGUAGAAACUCUGAGGGGCUAAGCUCUCAGGGGGAAUUGGGUUGAUAGCAUUUUUUGGUGUUAUGGUAAUACGGGCACAUCGAGAGGUGGAAUUGUGUGAAAACAAUUUACACUUUAUCCCCAAUCUCCCCAUCCCCUGUCUAAAAGGGUGGAAGAAAAUCUUUUAAUAAGUAGGACAUAUACAAAUAGAGAUAGAUAACUCGGCAAGUCUGUGAGGGCUGCCUGUUUAGUAAAAACAUCUCCUCUUGAUUCGAUAAGAGGUAGGCCCUGCCCAGUGCGCGCCACUUGUAAACGGCCGCAGUACUCUAACUGUGCAAAGGUAGCAAAAUAAAUUGGCCCUUAAUUGGGGUCUAGAAUGAAUGGGUUGACAGGCUCUCAACUGUUCCAUUUCUACAUACUGAAAUUUAGAACUAGGUUCAAACUCCUAGAUUUGAGAGAGGGACGAGAAGACCCUAUAGAUCUUAAACCCAUCCACUUUUUAAUUGAUCAGUGGUGGGUUUUGUUUGGGACGAAACACAACAAAAACGUUUGAUAACAAAAAGAUUGGUGGAUCAAAUUAAUGAUCCCCUUUCGGGAAACAAAGAAUAAGUUACCUUAGGGAUAACAGCGCAAUACCCCAACCCGGACCUUACGGGUUGAGGCGCUUGCGACCUCGAUGUUGAAUUAAGUUUUCCUUCUUACGUAGAAUGAAGAAAGGUUUGUCUGUUCGACAAUUAAAAACUUACAUGAUUUGAGUUUAGACCGACGAGAGUCAGGUUAGAUUCUAUCUUCUCUCCUUUAACCCCCCUCUUGUACGAAAGGACUUAGGGGGGCGUAUGAAAUACGUUCUUAAAAUU
rnacentral:rRNA from 1 species